GCCGCCAUGGUGAAAUUGGUAGACACGCUGCUCUUAGGAAGCAGUGCUAGCGCAUCUCGGUUCGAAUCCGAGUGGCGGCA
rnacentral:tRNA from 1 species